CGGAGUUGCGCGCUUCUCCGCGCGCUCCGGCCGAGCCGGUGCUCGGGGACCCCGCGCAGCCCUGCCCGUGUCGUGUGAGCCUGUGGCAGCUGCUGCGGCGGCAGAGCUGCCCUCCGGGAACCCCCUGCUCGCCUGAGCAUUUAUCUGAAGUCAUCAUCACAGAAUCUGAACAUCUCAGUCUAUUAAAGGUGUCCUCCAGGGCCAAGAUCCUGCACUUGGGCUGCACCUCCAGAAUCCUCAGCUCCACUGAAGAAGUCCAGUAGUCCAUGUCCAGGAUAAUCCCCUGCACGAGUGUUGUAAUGAGGGAGGACAGACCUAGUGUGCAAAAAGCUGUAUGUGAGGGGGUUGCUGCCUAUUCAGAGACACACAGCGAACAGAAAGGAUAAAUCAGCACCUGAAAGCCUGGACAAAACACCUGAACUGCAGUGGGCAGGGUAAUCUACUGCUGAGCUGCAGUGUUGGCAGCUGGCUCUGUCUUUCACCCAUUGAUUUGAUCACCCGGCUGAGGAGACUGAGUCUCUAAUAUUGACUGUGAAGCCUGGCUGGGCAGCACACAUCUUUCCCGUUGAAAAUCCAAAGGGCUGCUUGCAAAAGCUUUGUCCUGCAGCCCAAUCAAUUCCUGCCAGUGUAAGAUUUAAGAACGUUGUUUCUCUUGCUGACUGUGCUCACUAGAAGCCAAAGACCCGGGUGGGUAAGAAGCCCAAAGGCUUUAUCACUGGUGGUCUGUCACACAUGGUGACUUCUUCCAUUAACAGGUUUUUUGCUUUUCCCUGGUAUUUAGUCUCUGGUGCUACAGCAAAGAUACCAUAGUGGUGUCCACCUAUUGCAGAGUCAAAUCUUAAUACAUUUUCUACUCAAGACAGGGAGUAGCAGAAUCACUUGUAGGAGACUGUGUUUAUUUAAGUGCCAAAUAUGGAUCUCAGCAAUUCAUUCUAAGUGAAUCAGUAUUCAUAUCACUUGGUAAUGAUUUCUCAUUUAACUUUCGUACAUGAAGUGUGUAUUAUGCAGCACUUACAUUCCAUCUAUUAUUUCAGUCACUUUUAUAAUGUUAUGUUUUGGGUUUUUUUUUUUUGCAACUCAGGAGACAGGUUAACAAAUAAAGCUGCUUACACUUAAGGUUGGGGCAAGCUGUCCGAUUUCUUGUGUUGUGUCACCCAAACAUGCCUUCACUGAUACAUAAGGUUGUCAUCUAACAGCUGACACUUAGCUGCAGUUCCUGCUUGCGUCCACUUAAUAUUUUUAUCUCAUUCAUAGUUAUAAUUAUUAUGACAAGUACAAGUUGUUCUGCAGGGACAGCACUGUUUUUUUAGUGGUGGCAUUUAUUUAGAUAGAUUGCGGCAGUAGCUCUGUCAUGUCCAUAGCACUGGAAAUCAAAGUCAUUGAUAACCAUAUUCACUUCAGCAAAAUAAUGUUAUAACAAAAUAAAAUAGUAUGUAAGGUACUAAGCACUUAAAGGCACCAAUCCAGACAACUUUUUUGAAGAAUCUAUUUCUGCAGGCAAAAGCCCCCCAGAAAUUAAUAUGACUACCAGGGAAUUGGAUGCAAGUGUUUGAAAACUUGAAAAAUGUAUACACCUGUUAGAGCCAAAGCAAAUGCUUUCAGGACUUGUGUUAUUGUGGGAUUUGUGUUUUGUGAGUUUUUUGUUUGUUUUUUUUCUAAGGUGGAUGUACACUGUUUAGCCAUAAACUUUGUGAAUAAAUAAAAUCAUAAUAAAAAGUAGAGCUUUUUACUAGGAAUCCAUCACUGGACUAUUUUUAGGUCCUAGUCCCUUCUAAUUUUACUGCAUUUGCUUGCUUCUUUAUUAACAAGUAGAAAUAAGCAAAACCAUAGAAAGAGUGCUACUACUUUUCAGGCAAAAUCUAUUCUCAAUAUAUUAUCAUCUCCCGGUUUUACAAAAAUAUAGAUGUCAAAACCUCAA